AGUAAUGUAUGGGGGACUGCCUGAUGGGGGGGGAUAACUACUGGAAACGGUAGCUAAUACCGCAUAACGUCGCAAGACCAAAGAGGGGGACCUUAGGGCCUCUUGCCAUCGGAUGUGCCCAGAUGGGAUUAGCUAGUAGGUGGGGUAAUGGCUCACCUAGGCGACGAUCCCUAGCUGGUCUGAGAGGAUGACCAGCCACACUGGAACUGAGACACGGUCCAG
rnacentral:rRNA from 1 species